rfam:Ciona savignyi cont_40455, whole genome shotgun sequence.
GUCUCUGUGGCGCAAUUGGUUAGCGCGUUCGGCUGUUAACCGAAAGGUUGCUGGUUCAAGCCCAGCCAGGGACG